GUCAGUAGAACAAUGAUGUAAAAACUUAAAACAAUGAUGUAUAAUUUCUCUCUCUCUCUCUCUCUCAUAAUUUUGCUGCCAGUAAACUCAAACAUGCUUCUUAAAUUACCCUGUGUGCCGUUUGCUCUGAGGUAAACUAAACUGCUAUUUUAUUAUAGUACGAUGUUCAUCAGAAAUUUUUUUUUUUUUUGUGACAUGAUUUCAUUUGUUUCUUUCUUCUUUUAGUAUCUAUUAUUCAUUUAUUUGAUACAUUGAUAGAUAUUAGUUAUUAACGUCUUACCUUGCGGCCAUAAAUGCAUUUCAACUGUGCCAAAGAGAUGGAACAAGAUUAUUCAUCUUAUGCUGCAUGCAAUAAUCUCAUUGUUUUUUAGCCAAACUUAAAAUUUGUUAAUUCAUUGCUUGAAAAUGCAGUUAUUCAAGUGGUAUGUAAAUAAUCUUGUUCAGAACUCAAAACUUGUCAUACAUUUGUAACUAAGAUCCUGUUUGAAAUCAAGGUAUGGAUACUGUGCAAAUGAUUAUGGAGUAAACUCACAAGUAAAAUACAGUAGUACUGCAGAAUUUGAUCACGAUUGCAUCUGCAUGAAUGUUGAAUUGGUAAUAAUGAGAAGAUCAGUGAACUUUUUUGUGUUUAUACUUUAUAUAAUAGUAGUGAAAUAUCCACUGAAUAAGAAAAUAAUUACUAUAUGCCAAAAAUGAGUCAAAUUCCUUAGUAAUAAGACCCCAGAUACUCCUUAUGUCAUUUGCUCAGUGUUUCUCUUACAAUAUCACUAAUGCAGUCCUUGUGAAACCAACCAAAAGGCAUGUGAUGCACCAUCCAGUGUUGAAAAUGAUUUGCCAAACCAUGAUUCUUGCCAAUGCUAAUUUGUAAAGUUGCAAGAGAAGAAUUGAAAGUAGA